rnacentral:snoRNA from 1 species
CCUCACUGAUGAGUACAUUCUUUCAUUCUGAGUUAGCUGAAGCCAUAUGCAAUUUCUGAGAAGG